CCUACGGGAGGCACCAGUGGGGAAUAUUGCGCAAUGGGCGAAAGCCUGACGCAGCGACGCCGCGUGAGGGAUGAAGGUUUUCGGAUCGUAAACCUCUGUCAGAAGGGAAGAAACUACGUUGUGCUAAUCAGCAGCGUACUGACGGUACCUUCAAAGGAAGCACCGGCUAACUCCGUGCCAGCAGCCGCGGUAAUACGGAGGGUGCAAGCGUUAAUCGGAAUUACUGGGCGUAAAGCGCACGUAGGCUGUAGUGUAAGUCAGGGGUGAAAUCCCACGGCUCAACCGUGGAACUGCCUUUGAU
rnacentral:rRNA from 1 species